CUCUCUCUCUCUCUCUCUCUCUCUCUCUCUCUCUCUACCCAUCCCACUGCUGACAAGCUCCAACCUCGAUGCUGCCGACCUCCACCCUCCAUGCCGCCAACCUUCACUCUCCACGCCAUGGCUUCCCUUCUUCCUUUCCCAGCCAUUCCCUUCCUCUUCCCUUUCGCCCAUCUCCAGCCCUACAUUUUGGGUACCCCUUUCCCCACCACCAUGGCCAUGGCCACUUCUCCUUAACCCACUUCACCUCCUCCUUUCUUCUUCCUUAAUCAAAUCCCAUCCUUUCUCUUCCAAAAUUUCAAACCCAAAAAUACUACCCAAAACCCUAGCCCCUACCCAAAGCAAGGAGGUGGUGGGCCAAUUAUGGGUGAUUUAUGGGGCUUGAAGGGUCUUAUUGAAGAAGGAAGAGAAUGAAACACCUGGAUGGACGCAUUUGAAGCUUCCAGGUCAAGCUCCUUCUCCUCAUUGUGGUCAUACUGUGACCUCCGAAGGGCACUAUGUAAUGACAUCUUCAGCAGCCUUUAUAUUCUUCUUGUUGAUUUCUGUUCAUGUGCUGUUGUGUCGAUGCUGAAACUUUUUUCCUUAUAAUUCCUUAAAUGUUACUGCUAAAAUUUUUUCUUUGCAGCUGUUGUUAUUUGGAGGUCAUGGGAUUGUUGGUUGGUUGAGUCGUUAUGACAUGUUUUACAAUGACAGCAUUGUUUUAGAUUGAGGUGAGUGCUUUACAACUUUGCUAGUUGGAUUCCUAGCAGAUAUGUGCUGGAUUUGUCAUCAUGAUAUUAAUGUACCUUCUAUAUUGUUUAUGCUAUAGAUAUUCUGACUAUUAUUACCUGAAUGAAGUUGUUUGAUUUUAAUUUUUAAACAGUUUUCUUCGAAGUGUGACAUUUACAUGUGAAAUUGCAUUAUCCUGGCAACCCAAAGAGCGGCACAAAAUAUUUUAAGUGUUAUAUAGAAAGUACAAGGAGGUCCUUGUUGAUUUACUUAUCCUGGCAAAUUAAAUUAUCAUUGUUGAUUAUAAAUAAACGGGAACUAUACAUAUUAUCUACAAUUCUUAAAUGUUAUUUUACUUAAUUGUGACUAUUAGGCAAGGAUGAAAGAACUUUUGGUGGUUCUUGGAACACUGUUGCAGGGUGAGACUGGUGAGGGAGGUACCCUAUGUAUAGUUGAUGAUGCAGAAAAUUUAUUAUAACAUUCUAGACGUUUGGAUAGUAAUUUUUUGGGUAUAAAAUUUUAGACAUUUGGAAUGUAUUCUUUUGAUAUUGUAACUUUAAGUUGGUAAUGUAUAUUAAUAUGUUGUACUUAAAAUCCACUGCAAUAGACCAAAGGGUUAAGAAGAUGACAACUCAAAUAGCUGAUUUGGAGGAGAAAUGCCAUGGUUUUGAAGCCUUGAAAGUUGAAGUGAGUUUGAUGAAGAAAAUGUUUUCUCAAAUGAGUCCACUAUUUACUUUCACUCAGGAUGGUGAUGAUGAUGUAGUGGAUGUCCAUUCUCCAUGUGAUGUGGAUUUAUCAUCCUGUGACAGACAUUAGGAAACAUGCAGAUUGUGGGUUUUAUCUUGUACUAGCU